rnacentral:sRNA from 1 species
UUUGAAAACAAUUACAAAUCAUAUUUUUGUUUCAAAACCGAUGCAUUCAACUUUACUUUAUAUGAACAGACAAUAUAUAAAACAAUUUGUAAAUAGUAAUACAUAAAUCCGCACGUAGUGUGGGUACUCAUCUAGUUUCAUAAAAUCUCAAGAUUCUUACGCACACUAAGGUGCCAAGUCCAUAUCUUUGAAGACUCUUUCUCUCAUAUUAUUAAACAGUACUCAAGAAAGCGGGAUAGGCGGCCGUUUAAGCGUCACCCACCUAGGUGUUUGGCGUCUAUGUAUAGCUUCGAUUUUCUUAAAAUCGGAUUUAUUACGCGGUGGAGUAGAUUUGGCAGAAUAUGCGAUUAAACGGAUUAAACGGUUAUUAGGCGGGGUUAAGCGGGGUAGGCAGAUCUAAAUGUGUCUUAAUAUUUU